CAGAGGCGGUGCCGGUGACAAUCAUUUCCCUGGACGUGUCGUCUUCUUCUUUCGCACAUUUCGAGCGUUUCCAUAUUUUUCUUUUCCAGUGACAAAGAGCCAGGACACGUUGGGAUGCGUGUUAGCCUGCUAAAAGCGGACUGUUUCGGCUGCAGGAGCAGGAGCAGCCAACAACUUCCGCUCCGCUCUGACCUGUGACGCUAUAGGGCUACGUAGCUCUACCCUGUCGCAGGUGAUAUCACAACACAUCAUCGGUCCAGCAUUAAAUUCAGUCUUAAAUCUGUAAAAUUUUAUUAGCCUGCGCCACCAACAGCGGAAAAGUGCAUGGUUUUAGUUGAAAGUCAGACGCUGCACGUGUUGCCUGUUUAGAAGGAUCCAUCAGAUUUGCAAGGACGGCAUUCUCGGUGGUUCCAAUUUCCAGCCCAUUCCCCAAUUUUCAACCCCAAUGACAGACAACACACGCUUGAAUGGCUGUUCAGCUAAAGAAGGGAAUUGUGCCGCUGACAGUGGGGGUGUUGCCGUCUGGGGAGGCUGGAAGAUGGCAGGCCAUAAUGAUCCUCGGUCCGACCUUUGAC